rnacentral:misc_RNA from 1 species
AUUUUAGGCGGAAACAAGUAUAUUGUGCGUGGUGUAUCGACGCAUCUUAUAAUAUCUCACGAUUCUCUCGGUGUUAUCGCUGAUUUUGCGAGUAUCUGAUAUUGUUGAUAAUUCGGUUAAUAAGUAUACGACGAGUACGUGUGUUGCAUUAGUAACAUCGUUAUCAGUUACUACGAAGCCGUAACUGUGAAGUAGAAAAGAUAAAACGAUAGCUUAAAUCGAGAACGCUAACAUGGGCUCCAACAAACGUCACAAAACUGAAAAAUCUCGCGAUACCAAAAAGAAGCGUCAUCGCAGUCGCUCCAGAAGCUACACGCCCGAUCGCGAAAAGUCAGAGAAGCAUAGGCAUCAUAAGAAACACAGGAGAAAAGAACGCAAAGACUACGAUAGCGAUGUUGAAAUUGUUAAUGCUCCGCCGCCACCAAAAAUAUCUAAAUCAUCGCAUCCGUCGACACCUCCUCCACCUGAAAUCUCGAAACAGCGUAGUCCAUCCCCUGCUAAAGGUGGAGCGUCGCAAACCUCAUUAUCUAUCGAAGAAACUAACAAAAUUCGUGCAAAAUUAGGAUUAAAACCAUUGGAAGUAGAUAAUACAUCUAAAGAUGAUCCUAGCAAAAUUAAAGAUGAUCUGGGCGAAUUUUAUCAUAAACCUGCACCAAACAAUAGUGAUAAGAUAAAAGCACAGAAAUUGAGAGAAAAGAUAGGUACUCAGAAGGAAAAGAGACAAAUUGAGGCAAAUUUGUCAAAAAUGAAAAGUUUGGGUGAAAUUGAUUCGGAUGAUGAUACUCAAGUAUGGAUCAACAAAUCUAGGCAGCUAGAGGAAGAGAAGAAAAAAGCAGAAAUGAGAGCAAAAAUGUUGGAUCAAUUGGAUGAAGAAUUUGGAAUCGGGAAUUUGGUUAAAGAGGAAAUAUAUACUGCCCGCAACACGGCAUAUACAGAGAAAGAUUUGAAAGGCCUUAAAGUCGAGCAUAAUCUUGAAACGUUUGAGGAAGGCAAGACUGUAAUCCUAACAUUAAAAGAUCAAGAAGUAUUAAAUGAAAAUGAUGAUUUACUUGUAAAUGUGAAUAUGAUCGACAAUGAACGAUAUAAACGUAGUGUUUUAAAUAAAAUUAAGAAACCUACAUAUGAUCCAUAUGCCGAUGAAAAUUUCGACGAAUAUGGAUUUCCUAAAAACAAGAUUUUAGAAAAGUAUGAUGAAGAAAUUGAUGGUGAAAAAAAAGACAAUUUCAUGUUGGGUGCUAAUAAUGCAAUAGAAUUUAAACGACGUCAGAUAGAGACAGUAAAGCAACGCUUGGCAAAUAAAAAAUUAGAAACGCUACAAAUGGCAGAACCAAAAUUAGCGAGUGAAUAUUAUAAUGAAGAGGAACUUGCAAAAUUCAAGAAACCAAAGAAGAAGAUUCGAAAAAUUAGAACGAAAAAGAAAUUGAAAGCAGAUGAUUUAGUCCCUGUGGACAAUGAUUAUCUUCGAGAUCUUGGAAGUAGGAGAAGAAAAAAACCGGAAGAUUCGAAGGAUAAUGAUACUUUAGAUGUCGAUGAUUUAGAAGCUCCUGCAGAAGAUCUUACUGGAAUAAAACUUGAAGAAGAUGAUAAGGAAUUAGAAUUACAAUUGACUUUAAAAAAAACUCAACGUUUGAAGGAGGGACAUUCAGCUAGCAUCCAGAAAACUAUUGAAACAAUAAAACAUGAAAUUCUUAACUCUGAGGAAAGUCAAUCUGGAAAUAUUGUUCUUAAUUCUACUGCAGAAUUUUGUAGGACCUUGGGUGAUAUACCCACUUAUGGACUCGCUGGAAAUAGAGAGGAAAAUGGACAAGAACUUAUGGAUUUUGAAAUGGACGGAAUCAAAGAGGAACCGCCUGCAAACGAAGAAGAAGACGAUGGUCGUGGUGCUUGGAAUACAGUGCAUUUAGAUGAGAACAUUUCGGAACCAGUUGUAAUGGAGGCAGCAAUUCUAGAUGCCGAGCCGUCACUCGGUCACGGGGUAGGUGGAGCUUUAAAAUUAGCUAUGAGUAAAGGUUACUUACAGAAAGAGGACAGCAAUCGCCCUUCAGCGUCACGUUUCGCACAUCUGCAAGCUCAGAAUUAUUCGAUAGAGGACAAAACAUAUGGUUAACAGUUUUAAAUAGAGCCCGGAAAUCGGUGCUCGGAACGGGUGAUCCACUACCACUACGAGAGUUUACCGCUUAAUCGGAGGUGAACACAAGGCCUGAGAAGAGAGUAGGAUUUGUUAAGGGAUGAUGAUAAGUUCGGCAGAAGAGAUCGUUUUAAUGGACCGACAUCCGAUUUUAAGGAGAAAGAAGGUUUCAAAC